AUUGAAUGCCCUUAAAAGGCAAUCAGACAUAAAACGAAACUUUCUGGAGUCCGGUAGGCGUGCAUUUGUGCAUCUUUAAGACAGAAUCUAUAGGGCCUCUUCCUGUGGUUUGUACCAUGUGGCUCAAAAAGUGUUAAAAGGCGACGACAACUGUCUCUUUUCUCUGUUGGUUCCGGAAUCAAGUAGGCAGAGAAUGGGUUGAAUAAACUGCUGUGAAAUGAACAUUUGGAGCACAUGGAGAUAAAAGGAAGUGGAUGCACAGCGAUGAUUUGACCACAAAAAGAAAAAGGCGGGAACUUUAGAUGUACAGUGCAGUCACUCAUAAAGUAGACAGCACUACUAAAGGUUACUACACAGUGUAGUGUUUCCUACUUUAUGGAUGAGUGUACUGUUGGCUGCGAUGGACAAUCUUGUGGAUCUCUGUGGAUGCUGACGCCUCUUCUAAUGUCUGAUUUUUAAAAAUAUAAAUAAAGAUUGUUUUGUGAUACUGUGCUGUAUGACUGUUACAAUGCAACAUUGUUUAGAAGGCUACAUCACAUCUUAAUGUGAAAAAGCAUUUGAAUGAUGAAAUAUCAAAAGAAAAUGAAAAAAUGGACACAUAUUGCAGUAAAACAGUUAAAACAUACUGAAUGCAGUUGUUGCCGAAACGAAUACACAAAUGAUUACAUCA